GGCCUACGGGGGGCAGCAGUGGGGAAUAUUGCACAAUGGGGGAAACCCUGAUGCAGCGACGCCGCGUGAGUGAGGAAGUAUUUCGGUAUGUAAAGCUCUAUCAGCAGGGAAGAAAAUGACGGUACCUGACUAAGAAGCCCCGGCUAACUACGUGCCAGCAGCCGCGGUAAUACGUAGGGGGCAAGCGUUAUCCGGAUUUACUGGGUGUAAAGGGAGCGUAGACGGAGGAGCAAGUCUGAUGUGAAAAUCCGGGGCCCAACCCCGGGACUGCAUUGGAAACUGUCCGGCUAGAGUGCAGGAGAGGG
rnacentral:rRNA from 1 species